rnacentral:rRNA from 1 species
AUUGAACGCUGGCGGCAGGCCUAACACAUGCAAGUCGAACGAGUGGCGGACGGGUGAGUAAUGUCUGGGAAACUGCCUGAUGGAGGGGGAUAACUACUGGAAACGGUAGCUAAUACCGCAUACCCUCAGAUGUGCCCAGAUGGGCUUGGCUAGUUGGUGGGGUAACGGCUCACCAAGGCGACGAUCCCUAGCUGGUCUGAGAGGAUGACCAGCACCACUGGAACUGAGACACGCUCCAGACUCCUACGGGAGGCAGCAGUGGGGAAGAUUGCACAAUGGGCGCAAGCCUGAUGCAGCCAUGCCGCGUGUAUGAAGAAGGCCUUCGGGUUGUAAAGUACUUUCAGCGGGGAGGCGUUACCCGCAGAAGAAGCACCGGCUAACUCCGUGCCAGCAGCCGCGGUAAUUC